rnacentral:rRNA from 1 species
AGUUGGUGGAGUGAUUUGUCUGGUUAAUUCCGUUAACGAACGAGACCUUAGCCUGCUAAAUAGUUGCGCGAGCCUUCCAUACCGCCAGACAUCAGGGGUUCGCCUUUGGUGAAUGGUGGGAAUGGCUCAGCGUCAAACUUCUUAGAGGGACUAUUCGUAUCUAGCGAAUGGAAGUUUGAGGCAAUAACAGGU